rnacentral:rRNA from 1 species
GACGAACGCUGGCGGCGCGCCUAACACAUGCAAGUCGAACGGAGCUGAGAGAAGCUUGCUUUUCUUAGCUUAGUGGCGAACGGGUGAGUAACGCGUGAGUAACCUGCCCUGGAGUGGGGGACAACAGUUGGAAACGACUGCUAAUACCGCAUAAGCCCACGAUCCGGCAUCGGAUUGAGGGAAAAGGAUUUAUUCGCUUCAGGAUGGACUCGCGUCCAAUUAGCUAGUUGGUGAGGUAACGGCCCACCAAGGCGACGAUUGGUAGCCGGACUGAGAGGUUGAACGGCCACAUAGGGACUGAGACACGGCCCAGACUCCUACGGGAGGCAGCAGUGGGGGAUAUUGCACAAUGGGGGAAACCCUGAUGCAGCGACGCCGCGUGGAGGAAGAAGGUUUUCGGAUUGUAAACUCCUGUCGUUAGGGACGAUAAUGACGGUACCUAACAAGAAAGCACCGGCUAACUACGUG